rnacentral:lncRNA from 1 species
GCUUACUUAUAUUCAAUCUGUUAUUGAUUAAAGUUCAUUGCAGUUGAAUGGUCCAACUUUUUUUGCUCUGGUUGAUUGUUUCUCCAGUGACAGGCAUAAUACAUCUCCUUAUUAAAUAUUCCAUAAAAUCAGAAUUCUUCAGGAAUAACCACUCGAUUUUUAGAAAGGGUUGUUUCGUCUUACAAUUAUACAAAAUCAAUACCCGUAGAAGCCAUAGUACAGACGGUAUAAAUGGUUAAGAUUUCUUCUGGAAAAUGUCGAUGUCUCCUUAACACAUAAAAUUAGCAUUUCGUUUGCGUAACCAGAAGAUACCAAUGGGCAUCUUACUUGCCAUAAAAAAAACAUGUAAAAAGCCGAAAACGAUUAUCUAUUGACAAACAGUUAAUAAACUUAUCAUAUAUACCAGUAUUGACAUUUUGUAUUUGUGCAAGACGUGCGUUUCGUUUCGUCUACAAAAGUCUCAUCAGUGAUGCCCAAAUAAAAAAAAAGUUUUAAACAAAUCAAAAAAAAGUUUUAAAAAACCGAAUAAAGUAUAGAGUUAAAAAGCAUUGAGGACCAAAAAAAAUGAACAAUUUUAGUUAAGUUUGUUAAAUCAUGUCAGUACCGAAGUACUGACUACUGAGCUGAUGAUACCAUCGGGGAC